GCUGGUAUGAGCUCAAGCCACGAAGGUCUCUCUUUUUUUUUUCUUUCUUUUUUUUUCCUUCCUCCUCCUUUUCCCUCUUCCGAGUUGAUGAAUAGCGAUCAGGUUUCUUUUAAUGGCUGCCCCCUAUUCUCACAGCCUCCCACAACUAACCCGAGAGCCGGUUUCCUCGACCUCAGUUAAUUCCACUGAUUAUUCCAAGAUGAUGAGGAAAGCACGAAGAUUGUCCACUGCUCCUACCGAUUCCAGGCGUUUUUGUUACCGUCUCCAUCCUCGGCUCACGGGGAUUUAACCGGGCCGUAUUUUUAGGAUCGGGCUGCCCUUCCCCUUCUGCUCCCUUCUCAGCUGACAUCCUCCUGCUCUUGGCUCACUGCUCGGUCGCGGCGCGACCCUCGGGCUGGGGCGGUGGUUGGGGUGUUCCUGGGCGGGGGUCUGGGGUUGCCCAAAGGGAAGCAAACCUCGGGCCGCCCCCCGUCUCGCCAAGGGGAUUUUCGGCCCCCCCUCAGAAAUGAAACCGGCCCCCGGCCGCGGGCUGCGUGGAGGCCGUCCGGGAGGGCCGCGGGGGUAGAUCCACUCCGAGAAGUCUCACUAGAGGGCUCUGAUACUCAGCUCCGGCCGCUGCUCGGUGAACGCAAGAGCGGCUCCGUUCUCACUGUCCCUCAGCCUCCCGGGUGCAGCCCGACAGCUCUCCCCCGCGCCGCCGAAGGUGCUCCCGCGUGGUGUCACCACCGCGGUGUCCACUCUCCUCUGGGUCCAUCCCAUGGCAAAAGCGAGGAGAGCGGCCCCCAAAGCAGCCCGAGCUCCCACUUCGCUCCCUCGACGCAUUUAUCCUUGUCAAGAAUCAGGGAGCGAGCGGUAUUUACAGACAGCAUUUUGAAUCAAGUAUAGUGAUGGAGGAAGGUGUUGCGUCUGUGUUUGUUUUCGAGUGAAAGAAGGUUGGCAGCAGCAUUUGGAACACAUGGCAUAAGUCUGGGAACUGGGCCUUACAGCCAUCGUAAAGAAGUGAGCUUCAGCUUCCAAGAAGAGAAGAAAGCAGAGAGAUAUAAUUGGGCAUUUCAAUAUCAUCUGACCAAAGCCUUCAUGUGGAAGAGGAAUCUGCCUGUCAAAGAAAUUGGAGAGCUUCUCUGGAUUCCAUUUCCAUCCAAUCAAAGAUGCUUUGUAUUCACCAUCAUUAAUCGUACAAUUUGCAUUUGUGUAGAAAGUAAUAGAGGAAAUAUCCCAAGUUCAUUACCAAAAGGUAAUGAAGAGCAUCCCCAAAAAUUUGUGUGAUCUGGAUUGGAAUUCUGAAGCGGUUGAUACAAUCAGGGAAAAACAGAAGGAUUUGGCAGGAAAGAACAAGGAGAAUGGGGUUUAUGGAAGAAGAAGUUUGAAGUCUUCCAACUUCACUCAAGAAGUGUUAGUUCACUCAGUUAGGAAACUGGCACACUGACUGGCCAUCCAGGAUGGGACAGAUCUUGUCAGUAUCAGAGGAGUAAUACUUUCACAAGGAUGAACUGCCACUGAAUGAUACAGAAACACUUUUGUCUUCAAUAUCAUGCAGGUAUUUUGGGAAGAUAAGUCCCUGUAUUAUUAAUUAUGACAUUUAAAAAUGAUUCUGUUCCUUGGGAACAAGAAGACAAAUAUUUAUCUCCAUGGUUAUGUUUUGCAGAGCACUCUAAAAGCAUCAAAAAAGUGCAAGAUCUUGUUCCUGGCAUAUAUUUCCUUUGGGCUAAUCUUUCAAGACUCCAAAAGGUGUUGAGAUACGGUUGAUGUUAUGCAACCUUCAACACUAAAGCAGAUGUACAUCGUUCCUCCUUUGAGAAGUCUUAUUUUGAUCUCUGGAGACCCAUAUAGUGGUCCUCGCUAAAUCAUUUUGAGCAGAAGGGGAAUGUGCCCAGAGCAUUAUAGAAGCAGCAAUCUGUAGAUGGAAGUUAUAUGUGGAGUUUGAUGAAGCUGGCACUUUUCCUCCUGUAUGUUAAAUAAACAAGAAGUUACUGUGUAGUGUGUGGUGAUGCAGGCUGAUACUCUGCUGCUGAAUAAAACAAUGACAUGCUAAGACUCAGACUAUUUCCUUGUAUAGUCCUCAAAAAAUAGGAUUUUUUGUUUCUGAUACAUCUGAAAAUUCACAGGCAAAUAUGCAACUAAUCAAACCUCGCAGAGAUGCUAACACCCAGAUGUGUGUGUUUCUGUGUGGAAGCAAUCUAUGGCUAAUAGUAACAGAACUCUUGGAUAGAGAAAUCCUGUAAAAAUACAGAUUAGGCAUACAUAAGUUAAAUAUGUCUAACUAGUGUGCCAAGAAUUUAUAGUUUUAUGAAAUCUGUAUUAUGUAAAGAUCUUUCAAUAUUUCCUUCUAAAAAGUUUUCAUUAAUAUACAAAAAGGAGGAUAUGGAUUUCCAUAAUAAGCAGAAGAACCUUCCCAUUUCAUGUACAAUAAAUGAAAAUAACCACA